AUUGAACGCUGGCGGCAGGCCUAACACAUGCAAGUCGAACGGUAACAGGAAGAAGCUUGCUUCUUUGCUGACGAGUGGCGGACGGGUGAGUAAUGUCUGGGAAACUGCCUGAUGGAGGGGGAUAACUACUGGAAACGGUAGCUAAUACCGCAUAACGUCGUAAGACCAAAGAGGGGGACCUUCGGGCCUCUUGCCAUCGGAUGUGCCCAGAUGGGAUUAGCUAGUAGGUGGGGUAACGGCUCACCUAGGCGACGAUCCCUAGCUGGUCUGAGAGGAUGACCAGCCACACUGGAACUGAGACACGGUCCAGACUCCUACGGGAGGCAGCAGUGGGGAAUAUUGCACAAUGGGCGCAAGCCUGAUGCAGCCAUGCCGCGUGUAUGAAGAAGGCCUUCGGGUUGUAAAGUACUUUCAGCGGGGAGGAAGGGAGUAAAGUUAAUACCUUUGCUCAUUGACGUUACCCGCAGAAGAAGCACCGGCUAACUCCGUG
rnacentral:rRNA from 1 species